UUUUUUUUUUUUUUUAGUUGUCUUUUAUUUUUACAAAGCUGGAGACCAAAGUUGGGCUCUUUUCCAGGUCAGGCAAGUACUCCGCCUAUGUUACGCCCCUAUCUACUCUGAAAUAGUUUUAAAUUAGUACAUUUUUAUUAAAGUUUUUACAAAGAACUGGCUUUGGCUUCUGACUAGUGCUUUGUUGUUUUUACUAAUUUUUCUUUGAGAAUUUUAUACAUGUGUAUAGCACCUUCUGGUAACUGUUGUCCCCCUUUCUUGUCUCCAUCCUAACCCCUCCAACUCCCCUCUUUCUCCUUACUACAUACCCCUUUCUACAUACAUGCGUGUGAUGACACUGAAUUUAGCCCCUGUAUGACCAUGGGGGUGAAACUGUCCAUUUGAGCCUGAUGAGCUUAGCAGUGGGUACACAGCUGUAAAAACUGACUGCCCUCCCACAGUGCUCGUGGGCAUGACCCCAGGAGCCCUUCUCCCAUCCCUGACUGCUGGAGGGCCAGUCUUAGGUGUGCACCAUGAAGGGUCCACAGCUGCUUGAGUUCAUGACUGCAGUCCCUGUGUCGUGCCCAGGUCACAGUCCCAGCCCUUCUCCCUGUCACUCUGACAAUGCUUUACAUUCUUUCUACCCUCUCUUCCUCGAUGUCCCCAAGCCUUAGAGGAGUGUGGUGUAAAUGUCCUGUUUAGGGCUAAGCACUCAGCCUUGACUUAAUAUCAGCACCUCAAACAGUCGUGAAUCUCUGCACACACUGCUGUUCACUGCAGAAGCUGCUCUGGCCAAGGCUGAGAGUGGCAUUUGUCUAUGGGUAUAAGCGUGGAUACUUAGAAGCAGGUUCUUCUUAUGCCCAUUUAGCAAAACAAGAGUAGGAAGUUACCCCCUUAGGGCCUAUGGGCCACUCUAGCCAUAGAAUUUUGACCAGAUUUGCAGGACAGUGCAUUCUGUCUGUACUGUGGGCCUCAAACCCAGUCAACAAUCUUUUAUUCCCACAACAGCCAUGCAGCUAUUCCCACAUGCCUGCCAUGUUGGAGUUGUGCCUUGAGGCCUCCACAGUUGCACACACUGUCAGUGGCUGUCCUUCUCCGGCAGCUUCCAUGCACCUUUCCAGCAUGAUGUGUACUCACCCGUGGUCCCAGCUUGAUUCUGUAAUAUGACCAUUUGUCUCGUAAAUGAUCUGCCUAGACUUGGGCCAGAUUACUUGUCUUUACUGGUUUAUUGUCAAAUUGACAGAAGUCAGAAUUAUUGGGGAAGAGGGACUCUCAAUUAAGAAAAUGCUUCCGUAAUAUUUGGCUAUAGAGUCUGUAGUACAUUUUCUUAAUUAGUGAUUGAUGUGGGAGGGUCCACCGUGAGUGGUGCCACUCCUGGGCAAGAAGCAGUCCUGGGAUGUAUAAGAAAGCAGGUUGAGCAAGCCAGUAACCAGCAAUCCUCCCUGGUCUUUGCAUCUCUGUUCCUGCCCUGAGUUCCUGUCUGUGACAGACUUAGAAGCUGUAUGGAGAAACAAAGCCUUUCCCCACCCUGUAACUUUUAGUCAUGGUGUUUUUAUCAUAACAACAAUAAAAAAACCCAGUUAGGACAGCUGUCUGUUAACUGAAAUGCAGUUGAACUUAACCAUAUUUUUCCUUCUAGGAUACCUUAUAUGGUAUUCUUAUAAACCAUAAAAAUGCUCACAAAAAGCCUUAUUUUAGUCUUACAUUUGAUGUUCUACAUAGUUAAUCUGUGGGUUUGGAUAAUUGUUUCAUCUUCAGGAACCAUAUUUUAUUCAUAGAUGGAGCCAUUCCUGCCUGAGUAAGCAUUUGUUUAUCUAUUGCAAUCUAAAAUGUAUAUUAUUUAAAUGUAAAAAUUUUUAUAUCUUAGUUACUUCUUUUGUAUUGAGUUAGUUUUUAUUAGAUAUCUUUUUCCUUCCGUUUACCAAUAAGUACCUAUCCUGGGUUUUUUUUUUUUUUCAUUAAAAUGACAUAUAAUAUGGAAGUUUUCUGGCAGGUAUUUUCAUUAGCAAACCAGAAACAUUUUUAGUAAAAACCAAAAAGUAGUGUUUGAACAUACAAAACAUCAAAUGUUUAACAUAAACUUUAUAAAUAGCAAAAUGCUUAAUAGAAGAAAUUACUCGUUUUAGUGCGACUAAAAUGUUUAAAAACAUUGACUGUAUGAGAGAAGCGGUCUGUGAGCUAAUGAAGCGGAUUUGUUACAGGUGCUCCCUUUUGAUUUUUCUGUGGAAAACGUACUAAAUUUUUUAAGUAAAU
ensembl:sense_intronic Gm26575 predicted gene, 26575